rnacentral:rRNA from 1 species
UACGUAGGUAGCGAGCGUUGUCCGGAUUUACUGGGCGUAAAGGGAGCGUAGGCGGACUUUUAAGUGAGAUGUGAAAUACCCGGGCUCAACUUGGGUGCUGCAUUUCAAACUGGAAGUCUAGAGUGCAGGAGAGGAGAAUGGAAUUCCUAGUGUGGCGGUGAAAUGCGUAGAGAUUAGGAAGAACACCAGUGGCGAAGGCGAUUCUCUGGACUGUAACUGACGCUCAUGCGCGAAAGCUGGGGUAGCGAACCGGAUUAGAUACCCU